CCACAACUGCAACCGCACAUGACCAGUUCCUAAGAGUCUUAUGACCACUAAGUCGUGGCGAGUCUAAGUAAAAAU
rfam:Lactobacillus cacaonum DSM 21116 NODE_37, whole genome shotgun sequence.